AUGGAGAUUUUGGGAGAAAAAAUCUGAAUUUUUUUUUUGCCAAAUCUGGGGAAAAAUCUGGGGAAAAUUCUGGGGAAAAAUCCCAGAUUUUCAGUUUGGGCGCUGGAGGAAAAUCGGGGAAAAUGGGAAAGGUAAAACUGGGGGAAAAUCCCAAUUUUUCAGCCAAAUCCUUCUUUUUUUUUUAUUGCCAAAUCUGGGGGAAAAUCUGGGGAAAAAUCUGGGGAAAAAUCUGGGGAAAAAUCUGGGGGAAAAUCCCAGAUUUUCAGUUUGGGCACUGGAGGAAAAUCGGGGAAAAUGGGAAAGGUAAAAUUGGGGGAAAAUCCCAGUUUUUCAGCCAAAUCCCAGAUGAAACCCCAAGUUUUCAGACAAAUCCUUCCUUUUUUUUUGCCAAAUCUGGGGAAAAAUCCCAGAUUUUCAGUUUGGGCACUGGAGGAAAAUCGGGGAAAAUGGGAAAGGUAAAACUGGGGGAAAAUCCCAAUUUUUCGGACAAAUUCUUCCUUUUUUUUUGGCCAAAUCUGGGGAAAAAUCUGGGGAAAAAUCUGGGGGAAAAUCUGGGGAAAAAUCUGGGGAAAAAUCUGGGAAAAAUCCCAGAUUUUCAGUUUGGGCGCUGGAGGAAAAUCGGGGACGAUGCUGGACCGUGUGAGGCAGCUCUAGGUGCCAAAAAUAUAUGGGAGAGGUAAAACUGGGGGAAAAUCCCAAUUUUUCAGCCAAAUCUGGGGAAAAAUCCCAGAUUUUCAGUUUGGGCGCUGGAGGAAAAUCGGGGAAAAUGGGAAAGGUAAAACUGGGGGAAAAUCCCAAUUUUUCAGCAAAAUCCUUCCUUUUUUAUUGCCAAAUCUGGGGAAAAAUCUGGGGAAAAAUCUGGGGAAAAAUCUGGGGAAAAAUCCCAGAUUUUCAGUUUGGGCACUGGAGGAAAAUCGGGGAAAAUGGGAAAGGUAAAACUGGGGGAAAAUCCCAAUUUUUCAGACAAAUCCUUCUUUUUUUUUUCGCCAAAUCUGGGGAAAAAUCUGGGGAAAAAUCUGGGGAAAAAUCCCAGAUUUUGAGUUUGGGCGCUGGAGGAAAAUCGGGGAAAAUGGGAAAGGUAAAACUGGGGGGAAAAUCCCAAUUUUUCAGACAAAUCCUGCUUUUUUUUUUUGCCAAAUCUGGGGGAAAAAUCUGGGGAAAAAUCUGGGGAAAAAUCUGGGGAAAAUCUGGGGAAAAAUCCCAGAUUUUCAGUUUGGGCGCUGGAGGAAAAUCGGGGAAAAUGGGAAAGGUAAAACUGGGGGAAAAUCCCAAUUUUUCAGCCAAAUCCUUAUUUUGUUUUUUUGGCCAAAUCUGGGGAAAAAUCUGGGGAAAAAUCUGGGGAAAAAUCCCAGAUUUUCAGUUUGGGCACUGGAGGAAAAUCGGGGAAAAUGGGAAAGGUAAAACUGGGGGAAAAUCCCAAUUUUUCAGACAAAUCCUUCUUUUCUUUUUUUGGCCAAAUCUGGGGAAAAAUCCCAGAUUUUCAGUUUGGGCACUGGAGGAAAAUCGGGGAAAAUGGGAAAGGUAAAACUGGGGGAAAAUCCCAAUUUUUCAGACAAAUCCUUCUUUUCUUUUUUUGGCCAAAUCUGGGGAAAAAUCCCAGAUUUUCAGUUUGGGCACUGGAGGAAAAUCGGGGAAAAUGGGAAAGGUAAAACUGGGGGAAAAACCCAAUUUUUCAGCCAAAUCCUUCUUUUUUUUUUGCCAAAUCUGGGGAAAAAUCUGGGGAAAAAUCUGGGGAAAAAUCCCAGAUUUUCAGUUUGGGCACUGGAGGAAAAUCGGGGAAAAUGGGAAAGGUAAAAAUGGGGGAAAAUCCCAAUUUUUCAGCCAAAUCCUUCUUUUUUUUUGCCAAAUCUGAGGAAAAAUCUGGGGAAAAAUCUGGGGAAAAAUCUGGGGAAAAAUCUGGGGAAAAAUCCCAGAUUUUCAGUUUGGGCACUGGAGGAAAAUUGGGGAAAAUGGGAAAGGUAAAACUGGGGAAAAUCCCAAUUUUUCAGACAAAUCCUGCUUUUUUUUUUUUUGCCAAAUCUGGGGAAAAAUCUGGGGAAAAAUCUGGGGAAAAAUCCCAGAUUUUCAGUUUGGGCACUGGAGGAAAAUCGGGGAAAAUGGGAAAGGUAAAACUGGGGGAAAAUCCCAAUUUUUCAGACAAAUCCUUCCUUUUUUUUUUGCCAAAUCUGGGGAAAAAUCUGGGGAAAAAUCCCAGAUUUUCAGUUUGGGCGCUGGAGGAAAAUCGGGGAAAAUGGGAAAGGUAAAACUGGGGGAAAAUCCCAAUUUUUCAGCCAAACCCUUCUUUUUUUUUUGCCAAAUCUGGGGAAAAAUCCCAGAUUUUCAGCCAAAUCCCAGAUGAAACCCCAAUUUUUCAGCCAAACCCUUCUCUUUUUUUUGCCAAAUCUGGGGAAAAUCCCAUAUUUUCAGCCAAAUCCCAGAUGAAACCCCAAGUUUUCAGACAAAUCCUUUUUUUUUUUGCAAACUCUGGGGGAAAAUCCCAUAUUUUCAGCCAAAUCCCAGAUGAAACCCCAAGUUUUCAGACAAAUCCUUCUCUUUUUUUUGCCAAAUCUGGGGAAAAAUCCCAUAUUUUCAGCCAAAUCCCAGAUGCAAUCCCAAGUUUUCAGACAAAUCCUUCUUUUUUUUUGCAAACUCUGGGGGAAAAUCCCAAUUUUUCAGCCAAAUCCCAGAUGAAACCCCAAGUUUUCAGACAAAUCCUUCCUUUUUUUUUCCAAAUCUGGGGAAAAAUCCUAAAUUUUCAGGCAAAUCCCCGGAUGCAAUCCCAAAUUUUCAGCCAAAUCCCAUUUUUUUUUCAUUUUUUUUGCCAAAUCCCAGCUUCCCUCGAGCCCGGUAUUGCCACAAGUGGAUCCUCAAUAAAUGCUUAUUUUGGGUAAAAGUGGGAUUUGCUGUCAGAUAUUUAUUAAUAAAUAAGAAAGUGAGAUUUGGGUGGUUUGGGGACACCAAACACCCAAUUUGGGACCCAAAUUUGGGAGCUUCAAACUUUUCCUUGAAACUUCAUUUAAUUUCCAUUUAAAACUCUUUGAUUUAAACCAGAAUUUGAACUUACAGAUCCUCAGAAGCUCCAAAACUGGAAUUUCAAGUGCCCCAAAU